rnacentral:rRNA from 1 species
AUUGAACGCUGGCGGCAGGCCUAACACAUGCAAGUCGAGCGAGCGGCGGACGGGUGAGUAAUGCCUGGGAAUUGCCCAGUCGAGGGGGAUAACAGUUGGAAACGACUGCUCAUACCGCAUACGAUUGGAUUGCCCAGGUGGGAUUAGCUAGUUGGUGAGUUAAUGGCUCACCAAGGCGACGAUCCCUAGCUGGUCUGAGAGGAUGGUCGUCAAAACGGGAACUGAGACACGGUCCAUACUCCUACGGGAGGCAGCAGUGGGGAAUAUUGCACAAUGGGGGAAACCCUGAUGCAGCCAUGCCGCGGGUGUGAAGAAGGCCUUCGGGUUUUAAAGCACGUUCAGCGAGGAGGCGUUACUCGCAGAAGAAGCACCGGCUAACUCCGUGCCAGCCGCCGCGGUAAUUC